rnacentral:rRNA from 1 species
AGCUCCAAUAGCGUAUAUUAAAGUUGUUGCAGUUAAAAAGCUCGUAGUUGGAUUUCUGGGUUUCGAGACGGGCCGGGGCCGUCAAGGCCUUCGCGCCUGCUCUCGUUCCCAUCUUCGGGUGGAUCCGGUCUGGCAUUAGGUUGUUGGGUCGGGAAAGCCCGUCGUUUACUGUGAAAAAAUUAGAGUGUUCAAAGCAGGCUUAGGCCAUUGAAUACAUUAGCAUGGAAUAAUGAGAUAAGACCGUGGCGUUUUAUUUUGUUGGUUUGCACGCCAAGGUAAUGAUUAAUAGGGACAGUUGGGGGUAUUCGUAUUCAAUUGUCAGAGGUGAAAUUCUUGGAUUUAUGGAAGACGAACUACUGCGAAAGCAUUUACCAAGGAUGUUUUCAUUAAUCAAGAACGA